rnacentral:lncRNA from 1 species
CGGGGAGGUGGCACCAUGAAGCGCUGCUGGCUGAUCUGAGCUGCUGUUGUGUUGUUGUGUUGUUGUGUUGUGUUGUGCUGUUGUGUUGUAUUGUUGUGUUGUUGCAUUGUGUUAUUGUAUUGAUUUAUUGUUGUGUUGUUGUUGUAUUGUGUUGUGUUGUUGUUG